rnacentral:rRNA from 1 species
AUUGAACGCUGGCGGCAUGCCUUACACAUGCAAGUCGAACGGCAGCACGGGGCAACCUGGUGGCGAGUGGCGAACGGGUGAGUAAUGCAUCGGAACGUACCUUUCAGUGGGGGAUAACGUAGCGAAAGUUACGCUAAUACCGCAUAUUCUGUGAGCAGGAAAGCAGGGGAUCGCAAGACCUUGCGCUGAUUGAGCGGCCGAUGUCAGAUUAGCUAGUUGGUGAGGUAAAGGCUCACCAAGGCGACGAUCUGUAGCGGGUCUGAGAGGAUGAUCCGCCACACUGGAACGGGGACACGGUCCAGACUCCUACGGGAGGCAGCAGUGGGGAAUUUUGGACAUUGGGGCAACCCUGAUCCAGCCAUGCCGCGUGAGUGAAGAAGGCCUUCGGGUUGUAAAGCCCUUUCGGCCGGGAAGAAAUCGCACGGGCUAAUACCCUGUGUGGAUGACGGUACCGGAAUAAGAAGCACCGGCUAACUACGUGCCAGCCGCCGCCGUAAUAC